UAAAAGGCAAAGAAAGAAGAUACUAGGGAAGGAACCAGGUAGCAUGGUUAACAUAAGAAGUACACACUUUCCAUUUACUUAAAUCUUUUUUUCUUGAGUUUAUUGGUACUUUUAAAGUAUACAUUACAGUUACAUUUAUCAUUGAGAUCUUGUACUCAUUUACUUAAUUCUUAGAACCUAAACUACCUUUCCAGAAGACACCCACCCACAUUGUCAAUGCACCACCAAAGGACAGGGAAAAGUCAUGCCCAGAGAAAUCCAAGGUUGGGAUGAAAGACAGCCAGGGAGCCAGUCAGAUUCCAGGAGCCUGCAUGGGGAGAAGGAACCUAAUAAAAGGAGUUACAGACAAGAAAUCCGUAAUAGAAGAUCUACCAUACACUUCCGGGGUGACUAUGGAAUCAGGUUUCUAUGAAACACAACACAAAGGAUUUGCUUCCAAGUAACCAUAAUGAGUUGCCAUCCCUGAGCAUUCCAAAAGCAGUGCCCAACAUCUGGCAGAACUCGGAAAGUUGCCAGGGACAAUUGUAUGAGCCGAGUAAUCUAGAAUCAAUGGUCACCUUGCCAACUAUAUAAAAUGGACUCAGAUGCCCUAGAUUCAUUUACUCCUGUGGAUUCUCUGGAGCUGUUAACCAAAACCUCAAUUUCAUAAAAUAGAACUCCUCUCUAAGUAAGCGUAAUGGUAUAUUUCAGUCACAUGAUCACUUAACCACAUUGACAAUGAUAAGCUUUUUAAAGAUGUGUAAUUGCUUUCAGGUUUUUGUUUUAUCUUUGAAAAUAAAAAAGGUUAAACCACU
rnacentral:lncRNA from 1 species